rnacentral:antisense_RNA from 1 species
AACCUGCAAAAAUGUUUUGUACAUUAAAAUUUAUUUGAAUUUAUAGAAAUAAAAGAAAAUGCUCUUCUUAAA